rnacentral:rRNA from 1 species
AAGAGUUUGAUCCUGGCUCAGGAUGAACGCUGGCGGCGUGCUUAACACAUGCAAGUCGAACGGUGAAGCAGAGCUUGCCCUGUGGAAAGGGCGAACGGGUGAGUAACACGUGAGCAAUCUGCCCCUGACUCUGGGAUAAGCGCUGGAAACGGCGUCUAAUACCGGAUACGAGCUGCGACCGCAUGGUCAGUAGCUGGAAAGAAUUUCGGGUCAGGGAUGAGCUCGCGGCCUAUCAGCUUGUUGGUGAGGUAAUGGCUCACCAAGGCGUCGACGGGUAGCCGGCCUGAGAGGGUGACCGGCCACACUGGGACUGAGACACGGCCCAGACUCCUACGGGAGGCAGCAGUGGGGAAUAUUGCACAAUGGGCGCAAGCCUGAUGCAGCAACGCCGCGUGAGGGAUGACGGCCUUCGGGUUGUAAACCUCUUUUAGCAGGGAAGAAGCGAAAGUGACGGUACCUGCAGAAAAAGCGCCGGCUGACUACGUUCCAGCAGCCGCGGUAAUACGUAGGGCGCAAGGGUUAUCCGGAAUUAAUGGGCGUAAAGAGCUCGUAGGCCGUCUGUCGGGUCUGCUGUGAAAACCCGAGGCUCAACCUGGGGCCUGCAGUGGGUACCGGCAGACUAGAUUGCGGUAGGGGAGAUUGGAAAUGCCGGAGUACCGGUGGAAUGCGCAAAUAUCAGGAGGAACGCCGAUGGCGAAGGCAGAUCUCUGGGCCGUUACUGUCCCUGAGGAGCGAAAGGGUGGGGAGCAAACAUGCUUAGAUGUCCUGGUAGUCCCCUCCGUAAACGAUGGGAACUAGUCGUGGGGUCAUUUCCACGGAUUCCGUGACGUAGCUAACGCAUUAAGUUCCCCGCCUGGGGAGUACGGGCGCAAGGCUAAAACUCAAAGGAAUUGACGGGGACGCGCACAAGCGGCGGAGCAUGCGGAUUAAUUCGAUGCAACGCGAAGAACCUUAGCAAGGCUUGACAUAUAGAGGAACCGUCUGGAAACAGUCGCCCCGCAAGGUCUCUAUACAGCUGGUGCAUGGUUGUCGUCAGCUCGUGUCGUGAGAUGUUGGGUUAAGUCCCGCAACGAGCGCAACCCUCGUUCUAUGUUGCCAGCACGUAAUGGUGGGAACUCAUGGGAUACUGCCGGGGUCAACUCGGAGGAAGGUGGGGAUGUCGUCAAAUCAUCAUGCCCGUUAUGUCUUGGGCUUCACGCAUGCUACAAUGGGCGGUACAAAGGGCUGCAAUAGCGUGAGGUGGAGCGAAUCCCAAAAAGCCGGUCCCAGUUCGGAUUGAGGUCUGCACCUCGUCCUCAUGGAGUAGGAAUCGUUAGUAAUGGUAGAUCUCCAUCGAGGCGGUGCAUCCGUUACCGGGUCAUCUCUAUAGAGCCCGUCCUGUCAUGAAAGUCGGUAACACCUGAAGCCGGUGGCCCAACCCUUGUGGAGGGAGCCGUCGAA